UCCUCGCGCAAGCAUCCUCUCCUCCUACCCUCGCAUGCGCUAGGGUUCCUGCGCCGCCACCACACGGGAGCUUGUCGACCAUCCCAGCGUCCUCCGGAUCGCCGCCGCCCCUCUCCGAAUCGCCGCCGUCACCGCCCCGGAUCGCCGCCGUCGCCGGGCCAUGGCGGUGGAGGUCGACGACACCCGGAAGCGCGGGGCGGCGGCCUUCCUGGACGACCCCUUCGAGGUGCUGCAGGCGAAGCAGGGCCGGUGCUCACCGUCCGCCACCCGGCCUCGGUCGCCGACCUCGGCAUCAACAUGGAGUUCGACCCCGUCGAGGCGGUCCAGUCCGUCUUCCCCGGCGCCGAUCCGCAGCUUCUGCGGGGCUAUCUCGAAGCGUCGGGAAAUGUCUUGGAUGCUGCCAUCAGAAGCUUCAGGGAUUAUUUGGCAUCGGAUUCAGCAACGACCAAUGCUGGUGCCUCCUCAUCUGGAGUGGCAUGUGAUGUGCAGGUGAUGAAUACUCCAGCCAACAGGACUGAAUGGGCGGAGCUAAUUGUCAAGGAGAUGUCGUCCGCUUCAUAUCCAAAUGACGCCAGGAAUCGAGUCUUCAGGAUACUUGAAAUGUUCGACAAAUGUGCCGCAAACUGCAGUACUCCUGAUGAGGCGCAUAAAAUGCGUGAGACGAAGGCCACGACGGAUGGUGCCGGCGAGAAGGUGAGCAGCGGUGGAGAUAAGCGAGGAAAGGAGUAG
rnacentral:rRNA from 1 species